AAGUCGUAACAAGGUUUCCGUAGGUGAACCUGCGGAAGGAUCAUCAUUGAAUUAUCCAUUCUACAAACCCUGUGAACUGUAUGUAAAAGAGCGUUUGGCAGGAAGAUUUGGCUGGCUGGCUGACUAGCAGUAGCUAGUCGCUCGCCGCCAAGUCGUGUCUCUCUGCGGGGGGUGGUGGUGGCUUAGCCUCUCAUGGUUGCGCCGCCGGUUAACUCUUGCAGCAGAUGAGCGACUGCCAUUUGCUCGCAUUUAAAUAAAAACGCUUUAAACAAUUAUUACUGAUACAAAUAAUAAACUAUAAAACAACUUUCAACAACGGAUCUCUUGGCUCUC
rnacentral:misc_RNA from 1 species